UACGUAGGGGCCUAGCGUUGUCCGGAUUUAUUGGGCGUAAAGAGCUACGUAGGCGGUUCGGGUAAGUUCAGGUGUGAAAUCGUCCACGCUACAACCGGUGGAGGCGCCACCUGAAACUGCCGUGACUCGAGUCCGGAUAGGGGAGUGGUGGAAGUUCCCGGUGGUCAGCGGUGAAAUGACGCAGAUAUCGGGAGGAACACCGAAUGGCGAAGGCAGCUCGCUGGGACGUGACGUGACGCUGAGACGCGAAAGCGUGGGGAGCAAACAGGGAUUAAGAAACCCGUGGUAACGUCCG
rnacentral:rRNA from 1 species